rnacentral:tRNA from 1 species
GGUAGCUCGUCGGGCUCAUAACCCGAAGGUCGCAGGUUCAAAUCCUGCCCCCGCCACCA